UGGGGAAUUUUGGACAAUGGGGGAAACCCUGAUCCAGCCAUCCCGCGUGUGCGAUGAAGGCCUUCGGGUUGUAAAGCACUUUUGGCAGGAAAGAAACGUCAUGGGUUAAUACGCCGUGAAACUGACGGUACCUGCAGAAUAAGCACCGGCUAAGUACGUGCCAGCAGCCGCAGUAAUACGUAGGGUGCAAGCGUUAAUCGGAAUUACUGGGCGUAAAGCGUGCGCAGGCGGUUCGGAAAGAAAGAUGUGAAAUCCCAGAGCUCAACUUUGGAACUGCAUUUUUAACUACCGGGCUAGAGUGUGUCAGAGGGGGGUGGAAUUCCGCGUGUAGCAGUGAAAUGCGUAGAUAUGCGGAGGAACACCGAUGGCGAAGGCAGCCUCCUGGGAUAACACUGACGCUCAGGCACGAAAGCGUGGGGAGCAAACAGG
rnacentral:rRNA from 1 species